rnacentral:tRNA from 1 species
CAGAAAGUAGUUUAAUAAAAUAAUAAUUUUGGGGAUUAUAGUAGAGUUGAGUCCUUUCUGA